ACGGAGAGAUUCAUCGUCACUCCGCGGCGUACGUGUGCGUAUUUAGAUGUGAUCCGACAAAAACCCGCCGUGUCGCACUAUACGUCGCACGCUCACGUCCGCGGACGGCGUGCACUUCUCUUUUAGUAAUGCAUCGCGACCCGUUCGAUGUCGGUCUAAGUGCCGUUCGGGAGCCCAAUCGUCCCCCUCGGGGGGCGGCUGGACCGCGACGGUCGCCGACCGGCCGUCGGACGGUAUCAACUUGUGAAUCGCGCACGCGUCUUCGUCGCGUCCGACCCGACGCAAGGUUCGCGGCGUUAUCGGGGCCCUGUCUGUGUACGGAUCCCUUUGCGUCGCGCCUGUCGUCGCAGCCGUGUUGUCUCGGACUGUGCGCGUCUCUAUCUGCGAUGAUUCAGUUUCGGGCACUCGCAGGACCCGUCUUGAAACACGGACCAAGGAGUCUAGCAUGUGUGCGAGUCAUUGAGAUUUUUCAAACUGAAAGGCACAACGAAAGUGAAGGCGCGCGCUCGCCGCGCGCUCAGGGAGGAUGGAGCGUCGGUCUAGGUCGACCUCUCGCACUCCCGAGGCGUCUCGUUUCCAAUCCGCGAAUGUAGGCGCGCUCUGAGCGCAGAUGCU
rnacentral:rRNA from 1 species